CAGACAUAGACGAGUGUCUUCUAAAUGUAGAUGGCUGUGAACAAGUUUGUGAGAAUACCAACGGAGGCUAUCAUUGCUCAUGUCUCAAUGGAUUAAAGUUGAAUGUAGAUGGAGUCACUUGUUCUGUCACAAAAGAAUGUUCAACCAAAGUCUGCUCUGACAAGUGUGCUGUUGUCAAUAAUGUUGAGACUUGUCUGUGUCCCAUUGGAAAAAUUCUAGAUUCUGAUAAUACUCAUUGUAUAGACACUGACUUGUGUAAAGAUAACCCUUGUUCUGAUACUUGCACUGAGACUCCAGAUGGAACUCGUAUAACAUGUGGUUGUCCAACUGGCAAGAAGUUGGCUUUGGAUGGAAUCACUUGUCAAAGCUGUACAGAAGGAACUUAUGGAGACAGCUGUUCAAAGACAUGUUCCUGUACUUCUGCUAAUACCAUUUCCUGUGAUACGGUGACUGGUCAGUGUAACUGCAAGCCUGGCUGGUCUGGAAGCUCCUGUAGUGAUGACCUUAAUGAAUGCUUGACCACAACUUCCUGUCAAACCAAUGCUCACUGUGUCAAUACACCUGGCAGCUAUGUCUGUAAAUGUGAUCUAGGCUACUAUCUCAACAAUGGAAAAU
rnacentral:sRNA from 1 species